rnacentral:rRNA from 1 species
AUGGACGACAUUCACUGGUAUUUAUGUGUUAUAAAUGCCAGAAAAAAAUGUGUUCAAGUGCUUGACUCGCUAGGCCCAUACAUGAGCCGCAAGGACCUCACUGAUACGCUAGAAGGACUAGAGGAUUUAUUCAAAUAUGCAUCCAAGCACAUGGAAUUAAAAUCUGAUAAGUGGAUUGAUCUAGAUGUUACAACAUGGAAAAGAGAAGAAUAUAUUAAGAGCAAUCUUCAGACGGAUGGAUUUUAG